GAUGAACGCUGGCGGCGUGCCUAAUACAUGCAAGUCGAGCGAACAGACGAGGAGCUUGCUCCUCUGACGUUAGCGGCGGACGGGUGAGUAACACGUGGAUAACCUACCUAUAAGACUGGGAUAACUUCGGGAAACCGGAGCUAAUACCGGAUAAUAUAUUGAACCGCAUGGUUCAAUAGUGAAAGACGGUUUUGCUGUCACUUAUAGAUGGAUCCGCGCCGCAUUAGCUAGUUGGUAAGGUAACGGCUUACCAAGGCAACGAUGCGUAGCCGACCUGAGAGGGUGAUCGGCCACACUGGAACUGAGACACGGUCCAGACUCCUACGGGAGGCAGCAGUAGGGAAUCUUCCGCAAAGGGCGAAAGCCUGACGGAGCAACGCCGCGUGAGUGAUGAAGGUCUUCGGAUCGUAAAACUCUGUUAUUAGGGAAGAACAAAUGUGUAAGUAACUAUGCACGUCGUGACGGUACCUAAUCAGAAAGCCACGGCUAACUACGUG
rnacentral:rRNA from 1 species